UUUAUGCGGUUCUAUUUUAAAAUAUAAACACUUGACAAGCUCCUUAAUUAUUAAUUAUCACUUUAAUAGCGUUUAUUCAGCCGGUUGAUUUUGAGGACUUUCGUGAGUUAAUGCACUUGUUUUGACAUUCCUUCUAGCUCAACCACAAGCAUUACUGUUUUAUCAAUGUCUCUCCGUACAUGGGGGAAUUACGCGUUUUUCGUAUUUUAUGCUUUUCAUCUUUUAUUUUUCUAUACAGUAACGUAAUAGGUUCCAGUUUUGCUAUUCAAGUUUUAUAAGAAAUGGUCAUAGGAUGCUGGGACAAGGAUGCAAACCAAACUUGUCACUUCAUUGUAAACCUUUUGAUGAGAAAAGACGACGGCGACGGACAGUAGCUGUUAACUGUGAGAAUGGGCAGCUCUUUCUGUAUUCACAGAUUUGAGGGGAAUAUUUUUCACAAGAUCCUUAAAGAGAAGGAAACUCUGGAAACUGGAAGUGGUGAAGCCUUGGAGCCAGAACGCCGGUGGUGAGGAACAAUAGCAUGCGGUGAAGUCCUGAGCAGCAGCCAAAGUCAGGAAGAACGCCAUCCAGAGCCUCAGCGGGAGCUCACUGCCUCAUCAUAGCCACAGCGGAAAGCAGGCUUGCAUUCGCACCCCAGAUCUUCCAGUCACUCGCACGGAGGGAGGGAGGACACGGAUGAACUGAUGAACAGAUCUUCUAAAGCCAGGCUGCAGUCAGCUGUGAAGAGUCAUUUGUCUUCGUGUGAAAGCAAAUGCACUUUCCAAAGUAGAGUUUUCCAUUUCUUUUGUUUUGUUUUUUUGUUUCUUCUGCUAAGUUCCACUUCUCUCUAUCGCCCUCCAAGCAUGUCCCUGAAGUGCAUCUUUUAUUAAAACCAC